rnacentral:rRNA from 1 species
UGGUGGCGAGUGGCGAACGGGUGAGUAAUAUAUCGGAACGUGCCCAGUCGUGGGGGAUAACGUAGCGAAAGUUACGCUAAUACCGCAUACGAUCUAUGGAUGAAAGCGGGGGAUCGCAAGACCUCGCGCGAUUGGAGCGGCCGAUAUCAGAUUAGGUAGUUGGUGGGGUAAAGGCUCACCAAGCCGACGACCUGUAGCUGGUCUGAGAGGACGACCAGCCACACUGGGACUGAGACACGGCCCAGACUCCUACGGGAGGCAGCAGUGGGGAAUUUUGGACAAUGGGCGAAAGCCUGAUCCAGCCAUGCCGCGUGCAGGAUGAAGGCCUUCGGGUUGUAAACUGCUUUUGUACGGAACGAAAAGGUCCGCCCUAAUACGGCGGGCUCAUGACGGUACCGUAAGAAUAAGCACCGGCUAACUACGUGCCAGCAGCCGCGGUAAUACGUAGGGUGCAAGCGUUAAUCGGAAUUACUGGGCGUAAAGCGUGCGCAGGCGGUUAUGUAAGACAGAUGUGAAGUCCCCGGGCUCAACCUGGGAACUGCAUUAGUGACUGCAUAGCUGGAGUACGGCAGAGGGGGAUGGAAUUCCGCGUGUAGCAGUGAAAUGCGUAGAUAUGCGGAGGAACACCGAUGGCGAAGGCAAUCCCCUGGGCCUGUACUGACGCUCAUGCACGAAAGCGUGGGGAGCAAACAGGAUUAGAU